AUACGGAGGAUGCAAGCGUUAUCCGGAUUUAUUGGGUUUAAAGGGUGCGUAGGCGGGACUGUAAGUCAGGGGUGAAAUACUGCAGCUUAACUGUAGCAUUGCCUUUGAAACUGCCGUUCUUGAGUACAGUUGAGGUAGGCGGAAUGUGGUGUGUAGCGGUGAAAUGCAUAGAUAUACCACAGAACGCCGAUUGCGAAGGCAGCUUACUAAGCUGUUACUGACGCUGAGGCACGAAAGCGUGGGGAUCAAACAGGAUUAGAUACCCUGGUAGUCCACGCAGUAAACGAUGAUGACUAACCGUCGGCGAUAGACCGCCGGUGGCCAAGCGAAAGCGUUAAGUAAUCCACCUGGGGAGUACGCCGGCAACGGUGAAACUCAAAUGAAUUGGCGGGG
rnacentral:rRNA from 1 species